rnacentral:rRNA from 1 species
GAUGAACGCUGGCGGCGUGCCUAAUACAUGCAAGUCGAGCGAACAGACGAGGAUCUUGCUCCUCUGACGUUAGCGGCGGACGGGUGAGUAACACGUGGAUAACCUACCUAUAAGACUGGGAUAACUUCGGGAAACCGGAGCUAAUACCGGAUAAUAUAUUGAACCGCAUGGUUCAAUAGUGAAAGACGGUUUUGCUGUCACUUAUAGAUGGAUCCGCGCCGCAUUAGCUAGUUGGUAAGGUAACGGCUUACCAAGGCAACGAUGCGUAGCCGCCCUGAGAGGGUGAUCGGCCACACUGGAACUGAGACACGGUCCAGACUCCUACGGGAGGCAGCAGUAGGGAAUCUUCCGCAAUGGGCGAAAGCCUGACGGAGCAACGCCGCGUGAGUGAUGAAGGUCUUCGGAUCGUAAAACUCUGUUAUUAGGGAAGAACAAAUGUGUAAGUAACUAUGCACGUCUUGACGGUACCUAAUCAGAAAGCCACGGCUAACUACGUG